GUAUACAAAAAUUAUGAAAAUCAUAUCAACGGAUAUAAAAUAUAAACAGCAAGAUUUCCAUCUCGAAGAGGUUUACCGUGUACGCGAUUAUGACACGAUUAACGUACAGUCGAUUUACACGAAACUCUCCGCGGACUAGUCCCAUCAGGCCACCCACGUCAGAGUCAUUCCGCGCGAUCUGGAAAAGCGCUAAAAUAUCCUGAUGUACUCGCGUGGAAGAGAAAGAGAGGGAGUUAUGAGCGCUGAAUACUCGCUCACUCGUACCGUUCGAUGCGCAGUUUUGAUAUACGCAUAAGCGAGUGUGUAUGUGUAUAUGUGUGUACAUGUAUUGUACGCACGUGUGCAUAGUCGUUAUAUUUUCAUGUCGGAGCGCAGCCUAUGCCAUAGCCGCGGCUGCUCUCCUCGCGCUUCUCUUCGCGCCGCUCUUCUUCCCUCGCUGCGGUGGGUGGAGGAAGAAAAGGAGAGGACGGGACGGGGAAGAGAGAAGAGAGCGAGUAUAGGGCCCCCUGCUAGGCGGUGGCCGAUGAGAAGGAAGGAAGAAGGAAGGUGGGGAUCGGGACGAGGGAAGAAGAAGAAGAAGAAGAAGAAGAAGAAGAAGAAGAAGAAGAAGAAGAAGAAGUAGGAGAAGGCGGGCGCGGUCGCAAACAGUGGUAAUAGGAAAAAAAGGAGGCAAAGUAUCUAAAAUUGGCGGGACUGACUUGGCCAAUAUGCGGCGAUGGCGGGCAUCUACUAAACGAAUAUCGGUUGAAGGAGGCUUGGACUUAGAAUAGGAUGCGUCUAGGAACAAAGAAAAGAAAAGAAGCAGAAAAAGGCGGGCUGACUUUGAGCGGAUUCAUGAAUCCGUGAAUCUGAAAAGUGCAUUAAGACGAUAUAUAAAGAGAAUAAAAUACCUUCAUUAUGGAUUACAAUACGAUGAUGGUCCUGAAAAUUCUGCGAUAGUCGCAUCGUGUUAUCAUGCAAAUGUAUGCGUGCAAAAUAUGCGUCGUAGUGAUGGUAAUGAUAUCGAUAUUGCGCUCGAAGAUACGAUCUUGGCAGUGCGUUAAGCGGGUAACAUAUUUCUCGAUCGUAAUAUAUAGCGACGAAAACAGCUUUUUAAUAAAAAUGAAAGGCAACUUUGUACUCGAUUGCGAAUCGCGAGUAUCAAGGUGUUCGAGAACGAGAGUUACUUAACGUGAACUUUACAUUCAGCGCUGACAACUUUUGUGAAAAACGAAAGAGAGUAAGAUACGCACUAUACACCUUUACUUUUUGACAAAAUAAUUUUUGAUACAUAAACGCACAUAAAAUAACACUUUAACAGCGAAAGAUGAUGAAUAUAGAAAAUUAAAUAAAUAAAGAGUUGAAGUGUAUCGAAA